AGGAGUCGUCGUCUUCAUGAAAGAAAAGAAGAAGAUAAGCGACUGCUUUCUCUUCAAGAAUCAACACCAGAACCAUCUCUUGGAGAUACAUGUAUAUACAUUGAUGAAAGUGAAUACAUGGAGUGGAUCCCAACAUUAACAGUCUCCUGAUGUCAACUAAAGAUAAGUGAUUCAUACAUACAUUUUAAUAUGUACAGUACAUGCACCUGUUCCAGCCUGUAAUUAUUCUCUCAUGUGACACAAUCGCUUGUAAUUAAAUCACAAGCAACAUGAUUCAUAAAAAUGCAAUAACAAGUUCAUUCUUUCUUCCUCUAGUAUUUAGCAAAUGUUCAUAGUUAGUAUACAUGUACAUGUUACCCUUUUGUUCAAUUUCCCUUAUUCUUUUUCUAAAGAUGUUUAACAUUAUUACAUAAUGAUUUUAUUUAUUAUAGGCAAUAGGUAAAGAUCAGGAAAGAGUGAGUGGUGCUUGGAGGGAAGGUUAGAUUCCUAGCUGCCUCAUCAUGGCACUAGAGGUUCAACCACACUAUUAACACGAGGAAAGGUUAGAUUCCUAGCUGCCAUUGUCAUGGCACUAGCUAGAGGUUCAACCAGGUUAGAUUCCUAGCUGCCACUUUAUCUUGGCACUAGAGGUUCAACCAUACUAUGAGGAAAGGUUAGAUUCCUAGAUGCCAUUAUCAUGGCACUAGAGGUUCAACCAGGUUAGAUUCCUAGCUGCCACUUUGUUUUGGCACUAGAGGUUCAACCAUGCAGAGUUAAUUCCAUUGAGUCUCUACUACAGGAAAAGAAAACUUGCGCAUCAAUGACAGACCAGGCUGACUUCAAUAUGGCAACAAUCAACCUAUAAAUAAGGUUGUGGAAUGGGUGGUAGCGGUGGGGGGCCAGCUACGCAGCAUCACCUAUUCGCGACGGUGCUGGCUAUCAUCCCAGCUCAAAUCAAUUGGGGAUGCAAGAAUGCUGCUUUCAUUACUAAUCAUUUUCAUUGAUUGAAUUUUAUUAAUUUCUACUUCAUUUUCAAUGUCAAAACAGAUACUUUUUAGCAUUUA